rnacentral:rRNA from 1 species
GACGGAGGGUGCAAGCGUUGCUCGGAAUCAUUGGGCGUAAAGGGUGCGUAGGCGGCUUCUCAAGUCUGGCGUGAAAGCCCAGGGCUUAGCCCUGGAAGGGCGCUAGAAACUGGGGAGCUAGAGUGCCGGAGGGGAGAGUGGAAUUCCCGGUGUAGCGGUGAAAUGCGUAGAUAUCGGGAGGAAUACCGGUGGCGAAAGCGACUCUCUGGACGGUGACUGACGCUGAGGCACGAAAGCGUGGGGAGCAAACAGG